rnacentral:rRNA from 1 species
AUGACAGUACUAGUGGUGUUUGUGCCUCUUCUGUCUUUCUUUUUCGUUCAUUCGUUUCUUUCUUUUUCCCCCUGGCUUAACCGUGGAACUUGUGCGUGUGCAUGGAAGUAUACUGCUGAAAAUGACAAAUCCACAACCGAAGGUGUUCCCACUCUCGAGCUGGGGAACCUUAAGGCCAGCUACGCCAAGUUGAUGAAGGACAUUGAAGCAGAGAUCGACAGUAGGCUUACGGAGGAGAUCAAAAGGCAGCCAAAGCUUGAGAAGAUGCCACCUAGGGUCAAUGGCACAGCACUGUACACUCCAGCACAAGGAACAUUCAUGGUGAGCAUGGAACCAGAACAUGGCGGCAAGGUCGUGACUCUGCUGAUCCGCUGGGUCGAUCUCUACAUCAUGGCGGUCUACGUGGAAGCUCGCCGUCUUUUCCAGCGCACUAUCCAACCACCGGCACCCACGCGCUGCCCCUUCCCCACCCCCGUAUCCGGCCGCCGCGCCGCCUCCUUCCCUAGGAUCCGCCCGGAACCGAUGCCGCCACUGCCUGCCGCCACCAAGCGUCGACGCGCGACCCCGCCGCCUACCUUUGGUACGCCGCCACGCCUCCCCUGCCACCUAGGCUGCCCCCGGCCUCGCCCAGCUCCUCUUCCGGCGACGACCCCCUGCCACACGCGCCGCCCCCGUCCCGACAACAAAACUGCGAAAUCCAGCCAACCACCACUUCCUGAACCGCCCCGCGCUCCAUCCGGGCAACCGCCGCCUCCCCACCACGUCCCGCUCGCCUCCCGACCAACCACUGCCUCCCCAUUCCUUCGGCUUACCUGCAGCUGGGGGAGGUCUCGACCUGGAGCUGGAGGAGGUCUCGACCUACACCUGGUCGCGCGCGCCGCUGCCGCGAGGUCCACCACCUACAGUCGGCGCUACGACAACCACCCACCCGCCGCGCCGGCCAGCCCACGCCAGUACCGUCUGCAUCCCGCCGACCCUCCGGCCCCCAGCGAGCCGCUGCCCCUCCCUCUCCCGGGUCCACCAGCCCCGGCGACGCACGCCGCCGCCCACCAACCAGGAUCCCGCCGCUUCAACUUACUAAUUGGUGUUCUUGCAGCUGCAGUGCUGGCCGGCUCUGCUCCAUCGAGACUGCACUCAAUCACGGCAGCUCCAGCUGAACUUCAGCUAGCUAGCGCGCUGCUAGUUAAGCAAAUUCCACGUCCGUGCUCCUUCAUGGUACUGCUAUCUGCUGCUAUAAUUCUCGUGGAAUUUGCUCCCAACCUUUCUUUUUUGGAAGAUAUAACUAGUGUGCCCGAAAAAAACUGGAGAAGAUGGGAUCCAAGGAGGGUGGUCGCUCGGGAGGAGGUGGGGUUGAAGGGAGAAGAGUCGUGUGGUGUGUGGUAUCGCUACUCUGAAUUUGGUACGGACAUACUUCCGCCGUCUGUAGAUCAGUUCCCGUACAGUACCAAGCCUGGAAUUGGGACCGUCCAGUUGCCCCUCAAUAGCUCCUACUUGCAGAUAGGUGGAUUCGACAUAAACGUGGGUAAACAAGCUUUUACCCACUGCAUCGCCAGCUUGGGAAAACUUGGAGAGCUAUACCGCAGUGAGAGGGGACUUCAGGUUCUGAAAUCUGGCCCCCUAUCUUUCCCGACUGUAACGAUUUGCGAAGCAAUCCGCUUCGCGCUCUGGAGGACAUGGGUGACCAGCAAUAUUGAUGAAGAACUGGAUAGUCCGGUACCCAAGGAGCACAGUAAGUUGUUCAACUACUGGGCGGACAUUUCACGUGCUGUGGCGGAAGAUGAACCUUGGGACGGGAUUGCGGCAACUGAUCUGAUGAAGAAGCUCGGAGUUGUGAAGAGAGGUUGCUAUAUCAAACCUAAAAAAGUCAAGUGGGCGCAUUCAGCAAGUGGUUCGGGAAAGAAUUGA